rnacentral:lncRNA from 1 species
UCUCUGGCAUCUUGAAUUUAGGGCCCUUCAGUUUCGCAUCUGGACCUUCAAUAUUCACAUCUGGAACAUCAACGUCCACCUUGGGUCCUGAGACGUCAAGGUCAGCCUUGGGCAGGUUCACAUCCACUUCAGGGCCCUCUGCUUUGAAGCCAGGCAUGCUGAACUUGGGCAUUUUCAUCUUGGGCAUCUUCAGGUGCCAGUCUGGGCCAUGAACAUCCACAUCUGGGGCAUCAAUGUCCAUUUUGGGUCCUUUGAUGUCAACAUCUGGCACUUUCAUUUCACCUUCUACCUUGGGCACAGACACAUCCAUAUCCCCUUUGACUUUGGGGCCUUUCAGGUGUAAGUCCACAUCAGGCAUGGAGAUCUUGGGGGCCUUGAAGUGCAUCUCAGGCAUCUUAAACUUGGGCCCUUUCAACUUUGCAUCAGGACACUCCAG